AUACGGAGGGUGCGAGCGUUAAUCGGAAUUACUGGGCGUAAAGCGCGCGUAGGCGGCUAGGUCAGUCGGAUGUGAAAGCCCUGGGCUCAACCUGGGAACUGCAUUCGAUACUGCCUAGCUAGAGUAUGGUAGAGGGAAGCGGAAUUCCGGGUGUAGCGGUGAAAUGCGUAGAUAUCCGGAGGAACACCAGUGGCGAAGGCGGCUUCCUGGACCAAUACUGACGCUGAGGUGCGAAAGCGUGGGGAGCAAACAGGAUUAGAAACCCCGGUAGUCC
rnacentral:rRNA from 1 species